CAGUUUAUAUGUUUUGGGGUGGUGUGCAUACCCUACGAAAAUACUUUUAAUUCCUCUAGGAUACAACUUUGUUCUUUGAUGGUCAGGAACUCUAUAAUAGGAUAUAUGCCCAUAUACUUUAAAAUAAUUUAAAUUUAAUUUGUUGCCAUUCCAAAGCUCAUAAGGCGAAAUAUGCAUACUUUUUAAAGGCACCGUGACAAAUGUGCAUUAAGUAGCAUAGCAUUAACCAUAUGAUCUGACCUGCGCCCAAGCCCAAGUCAAAAUCUUUGAUUAUAUAAUAUAUAAAUAUAUGGUGUACUUAAUUAUACAUAUUUAAAAAUAUAUUUCUCAAAUCAAAAAUAUGAAAGGAAUAAGUAUUUAAAAUGCUCUAAAAAAGCCUUCUCUUCCUAUGUGGGAACAAUCCCACUUCCCUAACUCUAAAAUAACAAACUAUAUUUUAGCUACAAUACAAGGGUUUCGUAUCUAUUAACCUUGGCUAAUAAGAAGCUAUAGUUUUGCGUUUUACCCAUCAAAUUGUUGCAAUUUCGGUGGCUAAUAAUCAGUUGGCAUCCACAGAUAACUUCCGAGUAACCUAGGAAGCUCGUGAUGGACAUCCAACCUCUGUUCGUUAUCAUGUCUUGUGAUUGUUGCUCGAACCUGUAAUGAUUUGCUAUUUGAGUCUUUUUCCACAUGUAUUUUAGAUACUUAGGACAUGUUUGUUCAUAAAUAAAAAUUGUAUUUGUUUAUGAAAUUUUAUAAGUUUUUUAAGUCACUCAAAAACCUGCAAUAUAUGUCCAAACACAAUUUCAAAUAUCAAACAUUAUCUUCAAGUACUAUUUUUUUCCAAAAAUUAUAAAUUUUAUGUCCAAGCGCCUACUUAAAUUCCUAUUUGUCUCUCUUUUGACAAAAAUGAAGGACAUAAACAAAAUCACUGGGAAAACGAACACAGAGAGACAGAGGGCAGAUACAUGAAACGAAAUUUCGUAAUGCACAUGGCUUGAGGAUCAUCUAUUUUAAGGCCAUUGGGUGUAAUUUUCUGUCCCUUUUUUGGUUUAACCUUGAUCAUGUUCGAGUACAUAUACAGGUUAGGAUACUAGCAUGCUCUGAUUUUAAUAUUUUCAUAAAGAUGACCUUUAAUUACCAUAACUAAUACAAUUAAUGUGUUACUCAUGCUCCAAUGACCAAAAAUGUGUUACUAAGAUUUCACAUCGUACCCUUUCGAUUUUCUGACUGAGAUUCACAUGGUAACCAUUGGAUUUAGUGAAUAUUUACGUUUAAGGACCAUAGGAUUAUCGUUUCCUAAUCCUAUCAUCUAGUUGGUGUCGCACCAUCUAUAUCUAUAUCAAUAUCAUUAUGUAAGGACCACGGACCACCAUUUACUUGACCAUUUUUCCUUAUGCAGGCUGGCCUAAUACAACUUAAAAGGUCCUACAUGGUCAAGCUAGCUGGCCAGUAACAGACCAAUUUUUGUACACUAUACUGUCAACUUUCAAAUGUUUUUCCCCUCAAUUUUAACAUCAAAUACGCUUUUAUUGAUUCCAACGGGAUUACUCUAGGCUCAAAUUGCUAUAACAUCAAUUCCUUUAUGACUUUAGAAAUGAUCUAUUUCAACAAAUUGAAUAUUAUUGGGCUUAUUUAACAGAGCUGUUCUUAAAAUAAAAGAAAAUGUACGGCCAAACGGAUGCUUCUUUAUUUGUUUUUUCCAUUAUAUUUUAUGUGGUGAAGAACGAAGUAUAAGAAAGUGCCUAAUUUUUUAUAUGAACUCAAGCAUAAAUUCUUUAAACUUUUGAAAUAAAUUUUGCAUAUUCAAAAAUUACAUAAAAUACCUUAUGUCAUAACAGUUACAAAUAAUUUGAAAUAUUUUAGACAUGUUUGAAAAUAUAGUAAUCAAAGAUAAAUUUAUUUGACUACUUAAAUAUUAGUUUUAUCAAAUAAAAAGGGACGAGAUUAGUAGCUCUUUACCUUUUCCUUUUAGUUGGGGUUGAAGAAGAAAAGCUAUCCUCUGACUUGCCCGCAUUGAAGUAUAUAUACACAUGCACAUAAAUCAAUAAAUUACUCCUACAUAUAACAUUCUUAUUUCUUUUUCGUCUCGAAAAUUUUAUGAUUAGUUCCCAAUAUAGCUUGAUGAAAUUUUCUAGCUAUCUAAGUUUAUAAAAUGCUGUUAUCUUUACAAAUGAGUUAACCAAAA
rnacentral:lncRNA from 1 species